rnacentral:piRNA from 1 species
UAACAAGUUUGAUGCCCAUGUAGCAAUGCA